CUGUCAUUGAGUCCCAGAGUGUUUGUGAAAUGCACAGAGGCAGCUGUAGCCCCACUCAGGGAGAGAGGCAUCCGCGUGGCCACUUACAUAGACGACUGGCUUGUCGCAGCCUCUACACCCCGAGAGGCGGCCCACCAUACAGAUGUUCUCAGGGAACAUCUGGUGAGUUUGGGGUUUCGCCUGAAUAUGGAAAAAAGCAUGUUGACACCUUCUCAGUGCAUCACCUUCAUAGGCCUGACUUUGGACUCUCUCCAAGGCAGAGUUUUCCUGUCUCAGGACAGGGUGGUGGCAAUGAAAGGAUGCCUUGCACUGUUUCACAGGGGCAACACAGUCACACUCAGACAGUGUCAGAGGCUGUUAGGCCUGAUGGCCUCGUCUGUGGUGGUGAUACCCCUGGGACGCCUGUACAUGAGAGGGCCUCAGAGUUGGGUAGCCUCCCUUGGCCUAGAUCCUCUCCGAGAUGGUCAUCGACGGGUGAGGGUUUCUGUGGACUGCUCACUGGCUCUGCGCCAGUGGAAGAGCCCAGGGUUUCUGACCCAGGGGGCUACCAUGGGAACUGUUUCGGCCAGGAAGGUGAUCUCUACAGAUGCCUCUCUCACAGGCUGGGGUGCUACACACGAAGGGAGGACAGUGAACGGGAAGUGGGGCCCUCACAUGCGCUUCACCCACAUAAACUGUCUGGAGCUGAUUGCUGUUCAUUUGGCUCUAAAACAUUUCCUCCCCUGGCUGCGGGGACACCAUGUCCUAGUGAGGACAGACAACUCCACCGUGGUAGCCUACAUCAACAGGCAGGGAGGCUUGAGAUCUCUGCGGUUGCAUGCGCUGGCACACAGACUGAUAGUCUGGAGCAAUGUGCACUUUCAGUCACUGAGAGCGACUCAUGUUCCAGGCGUACUGAAUUGCGGGGCGGACCUACUCUCCAGGGGGAUCCCUCUAUAUGCAGACUGGAGACUUCACCCAGAAGUGGUGAAGCAGAUUUGGCUGCGGUAUGGACGGGCGGCAGUGGACCUUUAUGCGUCAGCGGAGAAUGCCCAGUGUCCGCUGUUCUUCUCCCUGCACGACCGAGUGGCUCCGCUGGGGAUCGAUGCACUGGCACACGAGUGGCCACGUGCUCUCCUGUAUGCUUUUCCCCCAGUGGCUCUCAUCCC
rnacentral:lncRNA from 1 species